rnacentral:rRNA from 1 species
AGAGUUUGAUCAUGGCUCAGAACGAACGCUGGCGGCGUGCUUAACACAUGCAAGUCGAGUGCGCGCCUGUAGCAAUACAGGUGGCGCACGGCGCACGGGUGCGUAACACGUGGGCAAUCUGCCCUCUGAUGGGGAAUAACCCGCCGAAAGGCGGGCUAAUACCGCAUAAAAUUCCUUGGACUUAUGUUCGAGGACUCAAAGGCGUAAGUCGUCGGAGGAGGAGCCCGCGCACGAUUAGCUAGUUGGUAGGGUAAUGGCCUACCAAGGCUUUGAUCGUUAGCUGGUCUGAGAGGAUGGCCAGCCACACUGGAACUGAGACACGGUCCAGACUCCUACGGGAGGCAGCAGUGGGGAAUCUUGCACAAUGGGCGAAAGCCUGAUGCAGCGACGCCGCGUGGGGGAUGAAGCAUUUCGGUGUGUAAACCCCUUUCGAUCCGGACGAAUGCCUCGCAAGAGGAGUGACGGUACGGAUAUAAGAAGCCCCGGCUAACUACGUGCCAGCAGCCGCGGUAAGACGUAGGGGGCCAGCGUUGUUCGGAAUUACUGGGUGUAAAGGGUUCGUAGGCGGUGUGGCAAGUUGGGUGUGAAAUCUCUGGGCUCAACCCAGAGACUGCUUCCAAAACUGCUGUGCUUGAGUGUGAGAGAGGCUCGUGGAAUUGCAGGUGUAGCGGUGAAAUGCGUAGAUAUCUGCAGGAACACCCGUGGCGAAAGCGGCGAGCUGGAUCACUACUGACGCUGAGGAACGAAAGCUAGGGGAGCAAACAGGAUUAGAUACCCUAGUAGUCC